rnacentral:lncRNA from 1 species
AAGAGAAAUGAAUAUAUGAAGAUACCUUCUCCGGAAAGUAUUUAAAAAAACCUCUGUUGCAAACAGGAAAGAAAAACAAGGAGAGAAAUGUAUAGGAAAAAACACUGAAGGGGCAAAAACAGAAGCCCACGUACAUUAGACUGGACUUCUGAUGGGCAGAGCUCUCUCUCCAUUCAGGAAACACCCUGUGAACAGCGGCUGUGUAAAGCAUGUCCAGGGGCUGGAGUUUGAAGGUACCAAGCCUCUAGGGACCUAGAUUCCAGUUGCAACGCAUGACCCAUGUGUAUAAAUAGCCCGUCUGUAAGUACAAGGACGCAUGUGUUAAAUACCAUCAUCAAGCUACCUAUACUGUGCACUGGCAGCCUGUAAGACAGAAGCAGUUCUGAGGAAGAGGGGUUUGGGAAAUCCUUGCAGAAAGACAUACAAACCACUAGAUACCCCACCGCCUCCACCCCAACCCCCACCCCAGACUUCCCACACCUAUUCCUUUGCUUUCUUUUUCUCUUUGGUGCUUAUGGCUGACAUUCUCACAUGCUGCUGAUUUUGCCUAUCUUGUUUCCUGCCUGCCUCCCCUACAAGACUGCAAACUCCACGAGGGCAAAAGUGGUCUUUUUUGGUCAGGGCUGAAUCCCCAGUCUCUCAAGGAGUAGCUGGCACAUUGUCAGCACUCAUUCAGUAUUUGUUGAAUGAAUCAAUUGGAUAAUUAAUCAGGACACAAGGAAAUUGAGCUCAGCCAUAAUGGAGCAGAGGGGCUUGGCAGGUGUGCGCUAGAGGGCGGGGUGUUCCAGGCAGGUGGAACCAGGGUGGAUGCUCAGGGCCUGGCCAUCCACGUGUAGGCUGCUGUGGCAAAGGGAAGGCUGAGGAAUUUCUUGCUAAGAGUUCCCAUUGGGGCUCAGGGUUAAGGAACCUGACUAGAAUGCAUAAGGAUGUGGGUCCUGUCCCUGGCCUCGCUCAGUGAGUUAAAGAUCCAGCAUUGCCAUGAGCUGUGGUAUAGGUUGCAGAUGUGGCUCAGAUCCUGCAUUGCUGUGGCUGUGGCAUAGGCCGGCAGCUACAACUCCAAUUGGACCCCUGGCCUGGGAAAUUCUAUAUACCCUAAAAAAAACAACAGGAAAAUAAUACACAAUGUUAGAAAGGCCCCUGUAAUUCCUGUAUUACCUAACAUUUGAUUAACUGCACAUUCACCAAUAAUUCUGACUCUUUUACUAUAGCAACAAGCAUUUCAUUCCUCAUUUUCUCUUUCUGGUACAGGAAGGGUAAAACUCUAAAUGUUGGUGUCUUUUAUGUUCUUCUCCCUUGGCCAGUGGUGCCUAAGGUCAACAGGAGGCCUGGGAAACUCAGUGGCAUUUGUGGCACUUGUGACACAGGAGCUUUAUGCCUAGGGAAUGAAUCAGGAAUUUCUUGCUCUAAUUUUCAGCUUCCCGUAUGUGUAGGGGGCCUUUCUUUUCUCAAACUUCAUGUGCUGAGAUUUAAAAAAAAAAAGUCCACCUUGCAGCUGCCAGCGGCUGCUUUGUAGAAGUGUGGGAACCUCACACAGAGAUACAGAGCUGUUCCUAGAAGCCCGGCAGGACCUCUCUUUCCUGUCCUUUGCCAGAAAAGAAGCAGCCCCCAGGGUUGGGUUCCUGUAUCCUCUUCCCAGAGCUGGGGCAGGAGGCUGGACCCUGCCUGCUCUGAGGAAACUUGCCCCCUGGUCUGGGAUGUGUGGUUUAAUCUCUAUUCAGCCUUCAUUGUUAAGGGGUGGGGGUGGGGGUCUGGGCCGAGACUCCAUGCCACACCCACCCUGAUGGAGCUUCUCCAAGGCCCUGAGAGUCCAGCCCUCUGUAAGGGAAUAUAAUUUUAGAUAAAGAGGGCAACCUCUUAACUCUGGGAAAUCUCUUAAGGUCAGAACACAGCCCCGCCCAUACCUGACUUCUGGCUGUGAAGGUGGAGGCAGCAGAGGAGACCUUUGUCCUAAAUUGUCUCCUUUGUCUCAUAUUCUCCUUCAGGCAAACUGGAGAGGCCAGAAUUCCUGUCAUGGCACAGUGGUUAACGAAUCCGACUAAGAACCCUGAGGUUAAGGGUUCGAUCCCUGCCCUUGCUCAGUGGGUUAAGGAUCCGGCAUGGCCCUGAGCUGUGGUGUAGGUCGCAGACGUGGCUCAGAUCCUACGUUGCUGUGGCUGUGGCGUAGGCCAGAGGCUACAGCUCCGAUUCGACCCCUAGCCUGGGAACCUCCAUAUGCCGCAGGAGCGGCCCAAAAAAUGGCAAAAAG